rnacentral:rRNA from 1 species
GCCAGACUCCUACGGGAGGCAGCAGUGGGGAAUAUUGCACAAUGGGGGAAACCCUGAUGCAGCAACGCCGCGUGAGUGAAGAAGUAUUUCGGUAUGUAAAGCUCUAUCAGCAGGGAAGAAGAAAGACGGUACCUGACUAAGAAGCCCCGGCUAACUACGUGCCAGCAGCCGCGGUAAUACGUAGGGGGCAAGCGUUAUCCGGAUUUACUGGGUGUAAAGGGGGCGCAGACGGCGAUGCAAGCCAGGAGUGAAAGCCCGGGGCCCAACCCCGGGACUGCUCUUGGAACUGCGUGGCUGGAGUGCAGGAGGGGCAGGCGGAAUUCCUGGUGUAGCGGUGAAAUGCGUAGAUAUCAGGAGGAACACCGGUGGCGAAGGCGGCCUGCUGGACUGCAACUGACGUUGAGGCCCGAAAGCGUGGGGAGCAAACAGGAUUAGAUACCCUGGUA